UGAAACAAUAUUUGCUUAUAAAUCCAUAUAGAGGCUUGAUUGCAUUUUUUCCGGCCCUGCACUUUACACUUAAGAUUUUCUUUGAUCCCUGUGAUUACCCUUACCUUUUCUAAUAAUUUUGAAUUCAUCCAGUUUGACAAUUCUGCCAGAAAAGUAGGCAAAACAUGCAAACCUAGGUCACUGACUGAUGUCGUCCUCCCCUCCUUCCUUGUUGCUCCUGUCUUUUCUCUGAAGGUCAACUUUUUGUUCUGGACAUCUUGUAUGCCCUCCAAUAUAUUUUCUUGUUCUUUUUAAGUCUUUAAACUACAUAUUGUCUAUAUGCAAUGUCAUGUACUUUGGAUUUAGUUUUCUGAUUCUUUUUUCGCCAUAGAUACUAUAGUGCUAUGCGUUUGGAGAUAACAAGAGAGGUUUUACUGAUUUAAGUACUUGCAGUGGGAGUCUGAAAUGGUGGUUUAAAUGCAAAUUAUGCUUUGCGUUAUAUGGCUGUAGGUGAACUAUGACUGUUUUGUGCAAACCUGAGGUAGGUAUGUAGUGUGAUGAUUGAUGUAGGAGAGCUCUGAAGUUCUGUGGGAGUGUUAGAGUGUAAGAUUCAUAUUCUGAGUAGUUUUAAGGACUACGCGUAGCAAGUUGUAAAAUGGAAAAUGUUUCCAGAAGUUUUAAUGGCUUAAAACUUAGCAUGAGGGGAGGUCCACGAGUUUUCUGGUGCAGCAACUGGGUAAGAUGAUGUUGGCUUCUAGAGUUAGGGAUGGGAUAAAUAUGGAUUGUAGGGUUUUAAUAAAAGAAGUGAUGAGAGAGUGUUAGUCAAGGAUGAAAGGUAAGUGAAUAGAACCCGAAGAACAGUUUUUUCAUUCUUUGUGCAUUUAAAUGCGUAAGUGAUGAUCCAUCUUCCUGCGUUCUCAAAAUAGGAUUUGUAAAGGGUGUGUCAGAGCUGGAACCCAGCUUCGAUGGGCUUGAAUUUGCUUCCACCUGGAUAUUUGUGUUGUGCUUUCAACCGGGUAGCACAUCAUAAAAAAGUUGCAAUAUGCUUUUUGUGACUUUGCUCACAAGAUAAAAUGAUAGACCCGAAUAAUAGUUCCGAGAAUGUACCUUUAAGUAUGUACCUUAUAUCAAACAUGUAAGUUUUUCUAGAUCUUCAUCAUGGACUUCAGGAAUUCCAUGCUUUUAGAUGUCUUGCUGAAUCUGAAACUUGUUAUGAAGUGUGCAAACCACCAAUGAAUGAAUAAGAUAUGGAGGAGCUUCACAAAGUGACAAACACAGUUUCCUUUCACUGUAUAAUUUGUUGGCAGCAGUCCCUCGUGCUUGACCCUUGCUCCAAACGCUUAAUAUGCUUGGAAGAACAUUCAAUGGUGGGACAGUAGAUUUCCUUGAAAACAAGAUUUGGUAGUUAUAUCUCGUAUCAUUAUCUAGGACUAGGUCGUCUAAGGAUCAUGUUACAUGUACAUGUUGAUUAGUAUCUUGACUUCUUUUUUUGGUUUCAUGUGGAUAAUCAGAAAAUAUUCUUUUGUUUUCGUUAGCUUUUUAGAUCUCA